rnacentral:rRNA from 1 species
UACGUAGGGGGCAAGCGUUGUCCGGAAUCAUUGGGCGUAAAGCGCGUGUAGGCGGCUGGCUAAGUCCGCUCUGAAAGCCCGGGGCUCAACCCCGGGAGGCGGGUGGAUACUGGUCAGCUCGAGUCCGGAAGAGGAGUGUGGAAUUCCUGGUGUAGCGGUGAAAUGCGCAGAUAUCAGGAGGAACACCGGUGGCGAAGGCGGAUCUCUGGGCCUUACCUGACGCUGAGGAGCGAAAGCAUGGGGAGCAAACAGG